rnacentral:lncRNA from 1 species
AGAAACGUAACAUCAAAAUCUUUAUAAGUUCAGAUCAAGAGUAACGUGCAAAACUGCAAAUCAAAAAGCCUAAGAAACACUAUAUUAAUCUUUAUAUAUUGUACUUGUAUGAUAGAGAGGUGCCAUGGUUCGUUUUCUAAGGUCAAGUGAACCAAUAAAUACACCCAAAAUUUAAAACGAUGAAAGGAGGAUUUUAUCAUUUUGAUAAUUUGUAGGUGAAAUCGCUUUCAACAAUCUCAGCUUUCUUGCCUGGCUUCAAGUUAUUCACAAUUAAAGAACAGUUUGCAAGCACACUGAAUUUCUUCAAAAGAGUUUUUCCAAACAGAACCUCCACAGGUACCUUAGCUGUCACCGAUAAUGGAAUUUUGCCAUUUUUUUCAUUUUCUUGCAUUGCCUCAUAUGGCCUUGAUCCAAACUAACUUUUUCCCUGAGUUCAACCUGCAUUAUGGUUGUAUUCUUUUGUGUCCAUGUCGGAAAGCUGGUAAUUUUCCUGAACAUAAUGUUGACUCAGUGUAGGUCAUGUUUAUAGAGCUACCUUCCCCGUAAGUUAGUUCUAUCUUUUUGUUAGGAUUCUCUGCUUUAAUAGUUACAAUAAUAUCCAUUGUGAGGGUAAAAUCAUGAGGUUGAUAUCCAAAUUCCUUAAUCUCAAAGCUUGAAAGUUGUAAUGUGGCAUUUGUGGGUUGAAGACCUUGAAGAAAUAGUAGGUGAGGGCGGAUACAAGAAGGAUGACGAAAAAAUGUAUGCAAUAGCAGCAGCAAAUGCAUCUCAAGCAAGGGUUUCCUCCUCCUGGCCUUUCUUCAUAAUAAUACUCACCGCUAUACCGCGGGGCUUUUGCAUAAGGCGGCGGAUGUGGUUGCAUUAUGGUGGACAAAGAUGAGCAAAACCUGCUGGAGAAAGAAGGAGGAGGAAACAACUUGCUUUUGCUUUGGUGGUGGUACCUAUUUCGUUAUGGAUCGAUGAAGGACCACCGUUAUUUCCUAUUUUAGGAAAGAGGCCAUUGUAUUUAAGGGAGAAAGGGUUUCUGUUUAUUGGACAGUUCCAUUGGUUAAGGAAAUUGCUAUAUAUGUGUGACUAAACAUGAGCAAAACAGUUACACCUUUCUUUGGAUGAUUUAGGCUUCUUGUUACUCCAUAGCAUGUUCAAUUAACAAGAGAUAAUACAAGUGCAAAGAACGGCAAAUACGAACGCAGUGCCGGCUCUAGGGGAAGCCACUAAAAUAAUAUAUAUAUAGAGAGAGAGAGAGAGAGAGAGAGAGACAUUCACGCUUCGUAGUACUAUUCAUCCCUUAUAUUACAAAAGUAUUAACAACUUAUAUUUAUAUUAUUUAGCUUGUAAAUAUAAUGGUGAUUUUUAAUUUUGACCAUUGUUAACCUGAAUAGAGAUCAUUGGUCGCUAUUUAUUCAUGAAUUUAAUAUAGCGACCAAAGUUAGUCGCUAAAUUUAAAUAAAAUUUAAUUAUACUUUAUAUAAUAUUUAGAUUAAUAAUAUAAUUAUUAAAAUUGUAUAACUGGGUCCCACUUAAGCAACCAAAGUUGGUCUCUAACUGCCUACCCUUUAUUUAGCGACCAACGUUGUUUUAUAAUAUAUAUAUAUAUAUAUAUAUAUUUAUAUUUUGUAUUUUUUUUAACAUAAUAAUAUAAUAAUUAAAAAUUUGUAGGUGUGUCCCACUUUAGCGACUAACAUUGGUCGCUAGUCUUAGUAAAUUUUUGACCAAAAAAGUCUGACUAGUCCAGCCAACAUUUUGACUAAUUUUGCAACCAAAUAGCGACCAACCUUAAUCGUUAUUUUGUUUCAACUAUUUAUUUUAUUAUUUUUCGCUAGUUUAGCCGCCAGGUUUGGUCGCCUUUUUCCACAGGCCAACGUAGUUCGCUAAAUUUUGGUCGUUUUCUUUUUCGGAAAUCUAGUAGUGGGUAGACCCGAUUUCUACAGUAUACAUAAUACUCAAGGAAUAAAUCCUGUGAAUAUACUGCUUAUACAUUUUGUAUACAUAUCAUCACAAAAAGUUAUAUUCCAUAUAGAUGUAUAUAUUGUUAAUAUAUUGGUUGCAGAUGCAUGCACUUACUGCUUAUAUGCUCGAUCCACAUCACCCCUCUCCCAAAUACAAUAAUGCGAAGAAAUGGAAGGAAAUUAAAGGUUAAAGGAGCCAUAAGAAACGUAACAUCAAAAUCUUUAUAAGUUCAGAUCAAGAGUAACGUGCAAAACUGCAAAUCAAAAAGCCUAAGAAACACUAUAUUAAUCUUUAUAUAUUGUACUUGUAUGAUAGAGAGGUGCCAUGGUUCGUUUUCUAAGGUCAAGUGAACCAAUAAAUACACCCAAAAUUUAAAACGAUGAAAGGAGGAUUUUAUCAUUUUGAUAAUUUGUAGGUGAAAUCGCUUUCAACAAUCUCAGCUUUCUUGCCUGGCUUCAAGUUAUUCACAAUUAAAGAACAGUUUGCAAGCACACUGAAUUUCUUCAAAAGAGUUUUUCCAAACAGAACCUCCACAGGUACCUUAGCUGUCACCGAUAAUGGAAUUUUGCCAUUUUUUUCAUUUUCUUGCAUUGCCUCAUAUGGCCUUGAUCCAAACUAACUUUUUCCCUGAG